rnacentral:rRNA from 1 species
UACGAAGGGGGCUAGCGUUGCUCGGAAUCACUGGGCGUAAAGGGUGCGUAGGCGGGUCUUUAAGUCAGGGGUGAAAUCCUGGAGCUCAACUCCAGAACUGCCUUUGAUACUGAAGAUCUUGAGUUCGGGAGAGGUGAGUGGAACUGCGAGUGUAGAGGUGAAAUUCGUAGAUAUUCGCAAGAACACCAGUGGCGAAGGCGGCCAACUGGUCCGAUACUGACGCUGAGGCGCGAAAGCGUGGGGAGCAAACAGG